CAUACCAGAUGGCUCUAAAAGAUGGGUAAGAAUUAUUUAUAAAAUCAUGGCUCUGCAGCCAAUGUUGGCUCAAAAAUUCACCAUGAUACCACAUACAACAUGAUAGAGAACCAUAACUACAGAAAAUAUUCAUUGUACAUACAACAUGAUAGAGAACCAUAACUACAGAAAAUAUUCAUUGUACCUUCCUAAAGUUUAGCAUUUUAAAGAUACAAUAAUUCGUUCUAAACUGAUGGGAUUUAAAGAUUAAGCUGUUGCAUUUAAAAACAAUUGGUUUUCUUCAAGCACCCUUCCUAUGAAC
rnacentral:lncRNA from 1 species